rnacentral:piRNA from 1 species
AUCUGAGAAAUUGACAAAGGUAAGAGGG